rnacentral:rRNA from 1 species
GACGAACGCUGGCGGCGUGCUUAACACAUGCAAGUCGAACGGAAAGGCCCUGCUUUUGUGGGGUGCUCGAGUGGCGAACGGGUGAGUAACACGUGAGUAACCUGCCCUUGACUUUGGGAUAACUUCAGGAAACUGGGGCUCAUACCGGAUAGGAGCUCCUGCUGCAUGGUGGGGGUUGGAAAGUUUCGGCGGUUGGGGAUAGACUCGCGGCUUAUCAGCUUGUUGGUGGGGUAGUGGCUUACCAAGGCUUUGACGGGUAGCCGGCCUGAGAGGGUGACCGGCGACAUUGGGACUGAGAGACGGACCAGACGCCUACGGGAGGCAGCAGGGGAGAAUAUGGCACAAUGGGCGGAAGCCUGAGGCAGCAACGCCGCGUGCGUGAUGACGUCCUUCGGGGUGUAAACCGCUGUCGCCUGUGACGAAGCGGGAGUGACGGUAAUGGGUAAAGAAGCACCGGCUAACUACGUG